GGCACGUCUACGGGGAUUAAAAAUAUAGAUGCCUCUUACAUUAGUGAAGUCUGAAGAUAUUCCAGCAAGUGAUGGUAUCUAAUGAUGGAAGGAAUGUCAAAAUGGACGUCAUGACUUCUCACCCCAGGCAGGUUCUGUUUGUAGGAGGGACUCUGUUCCGGAAUGGCAGCUCUUUGAGCCACUCUGCCAGCCUGGAAGAACCCUUUGAUUGCUGGCUGCUUUGGGGAGUCAAGUCUGGCGGACACUCCAGAACGGUGUGCAAAAUGACACAGGUGGGUGCAGCUGCGGAGGAGGGGAAUUGGCAGAACUCAGUGGAUUUCAACAUUUCUUCCAUAAAUGUUUAUAGAAAUGUUUCUUUUCAAUUGUGAAAGAGCUUCAGAUGAAUUUCUAUGUGAUAAAGAGAAACACACCCUCAGGAUCUUUCAUCCACAUUUCAGCUCAGCUUAUUUUGUUUUAGACACCACAUAGAAAGUUGCAUUUUGAUGGAUUUGGGGGAUGUUGUAUGCAAUGUCACCUUUCAUAUAAGCCAUAUUUACUUCCGUGCCACUUUUUAUUCCAGGUUUGGACAU